GUGUUGAUAGGGGAUGAAAUGUCCCAGAUUGAUGACAUCAUGCUCUCAGUGAUCGAUUUUGGCCUACAAGGCUAUACGGGUACCCCCUCCGCAUCUAGGGCUCGUCCUAAGAAAAAGAAUUCCUCGAAGAUGCCAAAACAUGUGAAGAAGCGGCCAUUGAGCUUUUGGAUAUGUUGAAUGCACCUGAUUCACCAGCGGAUCAAGAGAGGGAAGA